rnacentral:lncRNA from 1 species
AUGCAUCACUCAGUUCACAUGACCCCACGCGGAGGAUACAGAGUCUUCAACAGCCAAUCAGAGGCUACGCAGGUCACGUCCAGCCUGUCAGCUCAGAAGUGAUGCGCAUGCGUGUUGUUCUCCUGGUCUUUUCCAACCUCGGACUCCAGAGUUUAGCAGCUACGCAGCGGAGGAAAAAAAGACGGAAAGAGGAGAAAAUACGUCAGGUUUUUUGAGUGGACGAGAAAGUCCAAGGACCAGGAAGAGAUCCUGGUUGUAAACUGAUGCGGUGCAUCCUGGGAGCUCACGUCACAUAUCAGAGGAGAUCUGGUGGUGCCUACAG